rnacentral:tRNA from 1 species
AAAGUUAGUUAAAAUAUAACAUAAGGUUGUCAACCUUAAAUUGCAUUCUGCACUUUA